rnacentral:misc_RNA from 1 species
AGUUCAGGAGAGCUGUCGCGCACAAGCCCCGGGGGCGGACAGCGACGAGUCGAAUACUGUGGCGCUCAGCAGCACAGAAACAUCGGUGUGCUUCCCUUUGUCUCCGCUGCCUGCUGCGUCGCACACGCAUGCAUCAGCAAGCCAGGUGAGCAGUCAUUCUUUCAUGUAGACUAGGAGUCGUUUGACGGCCGCCACCACAGCCCACGUCGCCGUUCUCCUCCUCCCCCCUCCCCUCCCUCCCCUCUCCUGCACAACACAGAAGGCGAACAGCGGAAAGCACAGCGCACACGUGGGCACCGGCGCGAAUACGAGGGACUGGGAAGCGAGAUACCAGAGGGAGGAGGUCGUGUGCACACGUCUUUUCUCUGCUCGUGCCGUUGCUCUUCUUGGUGUGCUUGCGUUUGCUUUCCUCUCGCUCGCUCGCCGACGCUCUCCUCUGUGCGUGCGUGUGAUUGUGUGCGAGUGUGUGUGUGUGUGUGCACAGCACAUUGUGCGCAUCAGUUUGCCUGCUCCUCGUCCCCCUUCUUUAUAUUGUCCUGCAUAGCUUUCUCCCGGCAGCGGUGGCGGAGUUGUGUGGCUUUGUGGUGUCCGGUGUGCGCCGCGCGAGCACAGCAAGUGUUGCUUGGCCCAUUGAUUAGUUGGCGCCCCGUGUCUCUCUGCCUCUCUCUCUCUGUUGUUUGUUUUCCGUUCUCCUCACCUCAGCGCGCUCUGCCAACUCUGCAGUGGCAAGCAGCGUCGGCAUUGGUCCCCUGCUCCUUCUUUUCCUCGUCCCUUUUACUCUGUCCCUUGUGCGUGCGCGGUUGAGUGUGUGGGUGUGGGUGUGGGAAGGCGCCUGACUUGGCGGACGCACCGACGCCAGACACGCAGCACCCCACGCCGCCAUCGUACAUACAUCUAUUCAUAUAUAUAUAUAUAUAUAUAUAUAUGAAUAGAUGUAUCUGUCGAUUGUCUUCCUCCCCGACGUGCAACGUAGUGUAGACAACUCUUUUUCUUCUCCUCGCGUUGGCUGCCGCUGCCGUUGUCCUCAUCCGCUUGUUGGCUCUGUGUUUCUCCCAUUCGAUGUGCGCUUGAUUUUGUUGUUUGGGCGUACCUACUCGAGUGCUCGUUCCACGUGUGUCUCUGGGUCGGCACGUUCCUCGGGUGGCACCUUCCUUGAGCUUCUCUGUGCCCCCUGCUCUCGCAUCGCCCUCCCCCCCCUUCCUUCCUUCCUUCCUUCCUUCCUUCCUUCCUUCCUUCCUUUCUGCUAACCUCUGGGCAAUCUGUGGAAAGCGGCGAGACGGCCUACACUCUAUCUAUAUCUCGGUGAACACCUCUCAGGGGGAGGAGGAGCAGGGCUACCGCCAUCGUCCUCACGCGCAGCGUCCGUCUGCCUCGCUUGUGCGUGCGUGUGUAUACUUGAUCCCCUUUACAGAGCAGGCCUUUCUCAUCAUCUGCUGAGGGUACUUCGUUGUUGUUCCUAAUGAGCGCCGCCACGGAUGUGCUGACGAUAUCGUCGUCACCGUCGCGCACGGAGCCACUUGCGCGCGCCGCAGCCACCAUGGCAGGCGAUUCUUGCCCCUCCCCCUCAGCGGCAGCGACCGCCGUCACCACUACGGCAUCCUUUGCUUCCCCACGCACCCCGAAGAGUACGCCGCCGCCCACGGCAAGCCGCUGUCUUGUUCGGCCGCUCUUACUGCAGCGGCGCCAUAGCAGAUCCGACGGGCCGCAGCACCAGCAACAGCAGUCCAGCUGUGCCUCAAACCCGUCCUCGGCGAAUCUGUGCGAGAGUGAGCAAGAGGGGGCCGGCGGCGUAGAGAUACUCCUCGCGAAACAGUACCGGCCCAUGCGCGCCAUCGUGUCCAGUCGAUACGCCGGCACCGCGGCAGGUCAGCAAGAGCGGCGGCAACGGCAAGAGGACGCGGCGGGGACAGCCGUGGACGGCGGCGCCGCCGAGAAGCUCGCGAGCGGUGCGGCGAAGGAGAAUGACGGAGCAGGUCACAGCAGCAGCAGCAGCACCACCACCACUGACGGCACCGCCGGGGGGGUUCGAUGUAUAGCCGUGCAACUUCCCUCAGACCACCACACCGCGGCGGCCCCCAACAGCGCUUCACGUGGCCAAGAAGACAAGAGGCAGGUCGCCAACCGCUCCGUACCAAUCAACUCUGCUCGCCCCUGCGGCGAAGCCUUGGUGGCGCCGUCGUCCUCUUCCUACUUCUCUAACCUGUCUGCGAGCACGGCGCACAGCAGCAGCGCGUCGAGCAGCUUCUACGGUGCACCAGCAAGCGUCCCUCGAGCAUCCGGCGCCGGUAAAGGGCACGCAGCAGUUGCAUCACUUUCCCCGCCUGCACUCCCCGACGGCGUCCCAGCAUGCAAUGGUGACGGAAACCGCAGCGGCAGCAGCACCGAAGCCAAGGUUGUCCCCCUGCUGCUGCGUACUUGGCUUUCCGCCCACACCAUCGGCGAGGAGCUCGGCUGCCCGUCCAUCUCGCGCUCCGCCUCGCGAAACCUCGUGCGCGGGCCGUCCCUCACGGUGCCGCAGGCUCCUCUCGGGACACUGCCUCCGAGCGGUGCCACAAGCAUGGGCAGCGUCACCCCACUCAGCAGUAACCGGAGCAGUACUCAUCCUUCGUUCAUGCGGCCGCCAAGCGUAACCCGCUCCGGCGGCGAGCAAGGCAGCAUCAAAGUCCCUGGAGGGCUGCGGCAGAUAAGCGGCGGCGGCAAAGGCAAAAGCAGCCCGACGGGCGGCAUCGCGCAUGCCGUUAACGGCCGAGUUUUAUGCUCACCGCAUGGCGCGCGGCGGCCAGAUCUUGGUUCCCGCCGCACCACCUUUCAGCGCAGCACCUCAAACCUCUCGCUGCCCGAGGCCUCUUCAAGCGGCGGCGCGCCGCCGCCGAGUGAUCUCGGUGAGUGGUCCAGCGGUGCGGCCGUGAGAAAGGACACCGCCUCGGCGCGGCCGCCGCCGUCGUCGUCAAUGCCGAAAGAGAUGCACAGCUUCAUCCUCAGUCAGUAUCGCACCUUGCAGCGCGACGUUCUUUCUCUCCCCGCUCCACAGCAGUCCGUCUACCCUGACGUGACCUCGGUGGACUUCCAGCACAUCAAGAGGGCGACCUGUUCGAAGCACUCCAAGGCAGCCAAGAAGGCGCUCAAGGCACAGGAGGAGGUGCGGUUGCGUGCCCUUCAGCAGCAGCACCACGACAUGGAGGUGAUUCGAAACGGUGGCCGCGAGCAUGUUGGGCAGAGCAUGAAGAGCAGCGUGGUGCUGGCCGGCUCUCUGUCGAAGCUUCGAGCGCGCACCCGCUCUAGCCUCGGCAGAAGCGCCGCCACGGCGCUCGGUGCGAGUCCGGCGACGUCCCUCGUAAUAGGCUCACCAGACGAGUGCAGCGUCACCGCCCUGUACCCCGGAGACGGCUCCGGUCGCGCAACUCCGGAAAAGCAUGACGCGGCGCAGUCGCAGACACCAGAGCGGGAGCGGGAAGCCUGGCACGCGUCCAAGGCCUUCAUGGCAUCGAACGCUCCUGCCGGCGCACAGCGUCACGGGCGGCAGUCGCGCAGCGUCAACAAGAAUCGCAUGAAAGGCGAGGAGAUCGUGGUGGCAAUCGCCCUCGAUAGCGAAGACGAGGAGGAUGUCGAUGCAAGCACCACGUCGAACGCGGAAACAUGGAGGCGAUCUCGCGUCGACCAGCCGCACAGGAGCGCGCACGUGAGCUCCACGGCCCUGGGCGAGUUGUCGAGCGACACGGCAACAAAGUGCGCUGGCGAGCGGCUUGUCUCUCAGCCGCAGCGCCGCAGAGGUGCAGCAGCCUCGAAGAGAUGUGCAGAGCGCCACGUGCACAGCAGCAGCAGCAGCAGCAGCAGGAAUGAGGAGGGCUGCUUCCCAUGUAAGCAGCAACGCGGCAGCCGCGUGCGCAGCGCGCCGUCCCCGUCUUCCGCGCUGCCGCUGGAGCUCUGCUCACCGCCGGUCGCCUCGAGGUCGGGGUCGCGGGCAUCCUUGUCCGCACACGCACUUGAUAGCUCGCACCACCACUCCAAUGCCACCACGGCUUUGCUGGCGCACAGCUCUUCAGAAAGCGACGACGGUGAAGACGCGGCGGACGAGUGCUGUCACUGCUGCCCUUGCAAGCGCCCGAAGAACUUCUUCGCCCUCUGUCGCACGAGCAGCCAGAGCGCCGCUUCGCUCGUGUGGCGAGGGGAGAAGCGCAACGUGGCGGCCGGUGCCAUGCAAGAGGAGAAGCCGUCGAGCACGGCCAUAUCACGCGCCAGCCCCGACGACAGCCAAUUUGUGGUGGAGGACUUGGAGGACAGCGACGAGGAUGAGCCGACGCUCUCCAUGCAGAGCUUCCGCCGCGCUAACAUACAACGCAUACGAUGAAAGGGCACGUCAUGCCCACAUGGCCCCACGUGCGUGUAUCACUCUAGCCAUCCGGCGUCACCUCCUGCGUAUGUGUUUCUGUGUGGGAGGAGGGGAGGGCAUGCGCCUAUGCAUGCGCGCUCCUUCGCUCCACCACGCUCCGUCCCGCCCCUCGUCUCCUCUCGUGGUGCUUCUUCGCGGUACUCCGGUCGGCGUCUGUGUUGCCUUUGCUUUGGGCCCUUCGUGGCACUUCCUUCUUCUGCCCUGUUGUUUUACGCAGUGCGCAGUGGACGUGCGUGCGUGCGUGCAUCCAUGUUUGUGUGUAUGCAUGGUGGGGAGAGGGAAGGGGUCGGCAAUGUGGACGCUUCUGUGGUCUGAGCGCCUCUCUGUCUCUGUGCUCUCCCUCCCUCAGUCAGUGUGGUACGUUGUCCUCAUGCUCUCACUCCACACACAGGCACACGCCUCGAGCUCAGUCUCGCUUGAUUUCUCAUUGGGUUCUCGCAGUGGUCGUUGCGACGACUCUUCCAUGAUCAUCGUCACGCUCCGUGUGUGUGCGUAUAAUAGUUUUCUCUGCCUCUCUCUCUGCCACUUGGGCGUGCGUGGUUGUCUGCAGCGGCCGUCCGUCCUUUCCCCCCACCCCACCCUCCCCCUUCUCCCUACGGGCCGCAUGACGUCGUGGUGAGUCGAGCGCCGUUUUCUGUGGUGGUGGUGGUGUGCUGCUCUCGCCGCGCUGUUGGGUUGGCUGGCUGGUGGGAUGGGAGGCGCGGGCAACGUAAGAUUUUGUAGAAGGUCAGCGUGAAGCUGCGCCUGCUGCCCCUGUAGCGUUGGAUGCGCGCCGACAUGUAUUCCGUGGAAGGGUGCGUCUGCGUUGAUGUGGUCGUGCUUCGCAGCGGCCUUGCCAACGCGAACGGAAGAGAAGCGCAAGCGUGGGGAGACGCACAUCGGCGCGGUCGCGUCUCUCUCAAGGGGUCCACGCUUUCUUGCAUGGCAGCAGACAGAUUACGCCAAAGGAGGCAAUGCCUGUGACUGAGGCGCAGAAGCCAC